GUUGCUCGGGUCAGCCCGGGAAGGCCUCAUUCAAAGGAAAGGACGUGUUAAAACCCGUCGCGCAAUGUGUAGACGACAGCUUUGUCUGAGGUUUGCCCUGGGCCUAGACAAGGAAGUCCUUGUGCUGAACUAUCCCAGGAGGAAGUGGGAUUAAAGUUUCUUUCCAGAGCCGCCAUGGUGGAGCAGGACUGGUAGGUCAGGUGUCAGCAGAGAUUCGGGCACGUGCCGGCGGGGAAGGAGUUACGAACAUAUGGAAUACUUCAUAAUGGCCCGGGCUGUGCAAAAUUUAAUCCGAACAGUGGAAAAGGAGGAGGAGAAGGAGAUGACUAAGGAGGAGGAAGAAGAGGAGAAGAAGUUGGAGGAAGAGGAGGGAGAUGAAGAGGAGAGAAAAUAUGAGGGACCCAGCAUGUUCUGUCCCCAGAGCCUGCUCCAGGUGGUGAAGUUCUGCGGGCUGGGGGGCUGAUUCCUGGGACCCAGGAAAAUGUGACCCCAGAUGGGAGAAGACUCCAGAGAGAAGACAAAGAGGGGGGCUGGGCUGAGUUGCCCUUGCUUAGAGGUGGGUGAGGAAUUCCUUGUGGAGGAAUCCCAGGGUGCACCCCCAGAGCGAGGAGUGAACAUGACAUGGGCCUCUCCCGAUGCCCUGGCGAUAUCCCCCCAAACCCCCAUGUCCCUGCCUGCCUCCACCAUCGACCACCCUAGGAAGCCCCUCCUGCCAUCGCCACCGGGAAUUGGUUUCUCCAGGACCAGCAAGAAUGCUCCCCUCGUGUCAAGUCUGCAUCACUCAGUCUGUUUCCCUUCCCCUCCUCAGGCUUGGGCUCUGGGAUUGAGAGCUGAGCAGCAACUGGCCUCUGACAGAGAGCCCCAUGAACAGAGAUUUUGUUGCCUCAAGGCAUCCCCCGGCAGCUUCGAACACAGAGCCCUGCCCAAAGGCAAAAUGUUCUCCAUUGUUCCUUCCUCUCCCUGGCUUCAAACCAUGGCCUAGGUUGAGUUCUCCUGAGGUGAGGGGAGGGAGAUUUAGGCUGCCUUGAUUCCCCAUGGCUCAAGGUGAUCACACAGUGCAUAGAGGGGGCUGCGGCCCUGGCCGUCACCCCCACACCAGGCCACAUGGCUCUACGAUGGCAGAUUGGGCCACAAGCCGGAAAUCAGUGGACCGCUGAAGGAGGGACUAUGUUGGAGGAGAGACUAAGGGUGAUGAUCGAGGAUGAGAGAGAACAUUGGAGAACAAGGGAGGCCAAUUACACACUCCACCGCCAAUGAGAAGCCCUGGAAAUUGACAGAGAGUAUUGGGACUAAUGUGGGUUCCGUUCAAUAGGACUGAAGGAUAUGGUUAGAGCAGCACCAACCGAGUUACCAAAUUUAAGCUGCGGGCCCCGAACUGGCCUCACAUGGGCAAACAUCAAGGACACUUCCUUAGUGCUGCAACGUGAUCCUUAUGUCCCUGAUGAUAACCUAAGACCGUCUCCAUUCUAAGGGCCAAAAAGGUAGCAUGACUGUGUUACGCAACUUCAGGUUUGCCUAUGAGUGGGAGUGUGUGAAGUGUUUUGUUAUUAAAUGUUGAAAAGAUCGUGUAUAUUGGGAUUAAGGUCCCCCUCCUGUAAGUGUGUCUACUGACUAGCAUGUUAGGAUGUUCUGAGAACGCUGAGGACUUGAGAUUUGAGUUGGUGCCUAUAGGAAGAUUAUGUAUAUGGAUGUAGGUGAAGAAUUAAAAGAGUGACAGGCAUGAAGGUUUAUCUCUAAAGAGAUAAUGGUGAAGUGAAUUUGAAUGGAGAGGGAAUUGAUACCAAGGAGAAAGGAAUGAGAGUUUUGAUUAUAGAAUUUAGGCAUUUGAAAAGAUGGACAUUGACACCUUCUCAACCCGUGUGUCUGGGUGGAAAUACGUAUUGCGUGACAGAGGGGAAGAAUUCCUAAUAGAAUUUGUGGAGCUCCAUAGUUUGAGUGUGGUUGGAGCUACCACUUCAGAAGAUCGAAAGGGAAAAUUUCUUUGAGGGAAGGCGCCUCCCUCGAGCAGUUACUAGUUCACUUGCUUUAUGGUGAAGUGUGGAUUUCAUUAUGGGAAAAGUGAGUUCUCAAUUGGUUUGGAGUAUAAAUGCGAAGGAUGUGAUGGCUUUGCCUAUUGAUACUGCAAAUCCCGUGUUGGAGAUUUUACUGUAUUAACUGCAGAUUUUGCUCAUUUGGUAAAGGGAUAUAUGAACAAGUUGAAUACAAACUUUAAGUUUUUUAUCCAGCUGGCAUAAAGGUGAUGGCCCGAUUAAAGAAAUUUGUCUUGAUAUGUUCACUAUGGAACUACCAGUGUGAAGGGGAAAAAAGGAAUGUAAAUAUAUAUAUAUGUUCCCUUUAUAAUUUGGAAUAAAUUGGUAUAUGGGCA